ACAUACGACCACAGGCGCUAGAGAAUACGGGAUCCCGUCCGCUCUCCCCGAGUCAAACUGGCGACCGCUGGAGUAGUAGUCGGGUCGGUGACGACCGGCGAAUGCCCGGUGUUGUAUGUC
rfam:Neonectria ditissima strain R09/05 contig_232, whole genome shotgun sequence.